UUAGAGAGGUAGGAAUCGAACCUACACCUGGGAGAUCAAAACCCCCUGCAAUUCCAUUUUACCACUCUCUA
rnacentral:tRNA from 1 species